GGCGCUUUCCGAGCGCGGGACAGCCUCGCCCAGCCCUGAGGCACCCCCGCCGGCCUCGCUUCGACACCCCGUGAGGAGCAAAGGGGAUCCGAGUCCGGAGCCCUUCAGGCGCCCCUGACCCCCCUCUGGCCCGUCAAUAGUGCCCUUCAAGGCACCCAUGGCUCAGCUGCUCUCCACUCACCCCCCUUUGAGCCCUCAUUCCUCACCCCAGGCUGGAGCUGGGGUGGCAGCUCCACCAAGAUUCCUGAUUCAUCCCCAGGCUGGAAGGGGGAUGAAUGGAGGAGGAAUGGAGGUGGAAUGAGGAGUGGAGCGAUCCCUGUUCAAAGACUUCUGCUUUGUGCAGCUUGAAGACAGUACUAGAGGGGCCCGGCCUUACUCCAGCUGAAACUCCAGUUUCCUUACUGAAACUGAAAUGGUGAGAAGGGAAGCUCAAGGGACCAUGAUUACUUCCCAGGGUCAGAGUGAUUUCUUAUGUAACAUCGUUUCUCCAAGUGCAGUUCUACCGCUGACCAACAAAGGGAACAGACCCGGAGGGGGACUGGGAUCUGCAAAACCCUCCUAAUAUUUGCAGUCCUCCCUUGCCUUAAUGUGUGUAUCUGAACUGUUCACUAGCACCCUGCACCAAAGCAUGUAUCUACUAACUUCAGUUCAUCCUGGAAACCAGCAACCCCCAGAAUUCAGGGAAACUUUGAUACUUAACCCUGUACUCAUCCUUAAGAGUACCGCUGAACUCAAGCCUGAACAAAGUAUGGGUCCAGCAGGUAUUCCUGUACGUGCCCAAAGAUAACAGUGAUUAAUCUGUAUAGGGAGAACUGAUAGAGAACUUCCAGAGGCCAUGGUCUUCAGUAAAGCUAAUUUU